AUGCUCCUGUCGGCGUGGUUGUCAACACUGGUUCCCCUGCCCAAUCUCCGCGACUCAGCACUGUCCCUUCACUCUAAAGCCCCUCACAAGCCCUACUGGGGACCGACCACCAGGAGACUACUGGAGAUGCAAGAUUUGGAUCAGCACCUGACUGGUGUCGGCGGCGGCUGGGACUCCGACUCCUGGGUCGAGAAUGCGUUCUCCAUGGAAGACCCGGUGCGGAAGGUUGGGGGCGGCGGUACUGCCGGUGGGGACCACUGGGAAGGCGAGGACGAGGAUGAGAACGUCAAAGAUAACUGGGAUGACGAUGAUGAUUUAAAAAAAAAAAAAAAAAAAGGAGGAAGGAGAAGUAAAACCAGAGGUAAAAAUUUCAGAAAAGAAAAAAAUAGCAGAAAAGAUAAAAGAGAAAGAACAGCAACAGAAGAAAAGGCAAGAAGAAAUUAAAAAGAAGUUAGCUGAAGAACCUGAAGUGCUAACACCAGAAGAACAAUUAGCAGAUAAACUGCCGCUAAAGAAAUUACAGGAAGAGUCCGACCUCGAAUUAGCAAAGGAAACUUUUGGUGUUAAUAAUACAGUUUAUGGAAUAGAUGCUAUGAACCCAUCUUCAAGAGAUGGCUUUACAGAGUUUGGAAAGUUACUAAGAGAUAAAAUUACACAAUAUGAAAAGUCACUGUAUUAUGCCAGUUUUUUGGAAGUCUUAGUUUGAGAUGUGUGUAUUUCAUUGGAAACUGAUGAUUUGAAAAAGAUUAUCAAUUCACUGACUGCUUUGCAGUGAAAAACAGAAGCAAGAAAAGCAAAGCAAAGCCAAUAAGAAGAAAGGCGUGGUUUCUGGAGGGGGAUUAAAAGCCACCAUGAAAGACGAUCUGGCAGAUUAUGGUGGUUACUAUGGAGGAUAUGUACUACAAGACUAUGAAGACUUCAUGUAACUUUUUUUUUUUUUUGAGACGGAGUUUCCCUCUUGUUACCCAGGCUGGAGUGCAAUGGCGCAAUCUCGGCAUCUCGGCUCACCGCAACCUCCGCCUCCUGGGUUCAGGCAAUUCUCCUGCCUCAGCCUCCUGAGUAGCUGGGAUUACAGGCGCACGCCACCAUGCCCGGCUAAUUUUUUUUAUUAGUAGAGACGGGGUUUCACCAUGUUGACCAGGAUGGUCUCGAUCCGUUGACGUGAUCCACCCGCCUCGGCCUCCCAAAGUGCUGGGAUUACAGGCUUGAGCCACCGCGCCCGGCCCUCAUGUGACAUUUUUAUCUUCUCCUGGUGUCAUCUUUAUGUUGCCCACAGUCCCUUGAACAUGUAGCACAACUUCCUUUCCUUUCAGUUCUGCCAAAUGCUACAAGGAGAAGUGCAGUACCUUUUGUGCUGAUUAUUUAACCCCUUGACACUUAGGUGCUAAUGUGCAAAUAAGGGAACUUGGAUUUUGCUGCCAAGGGGUUAAAAUUGGGAACUUCAGUUGCUACUAAAUCACAGUUCAAAACAAACCUAAUAAUGUUGUCAUUGUUGCUAUCUGAUUUCAUAGCAGCAGUCACUAAAUUGGAAAAAGGUUGCAACAUGACAAAAAAAAUUGUGUAGUAUUUACCAGCACCAUUCGGUAAUACAGCCUUAACCAUACUUCCUUAAACUACUUCAUAACUUGCCAAGAAAGGCAGUUUGCAGCAAGGGCAUGUGGUGUGCACCUAGUAUUAAAAAUGCUUUGUCUUAAAAUUGAGGAUGAGGAUAUUAAAAACACAUUGUGAAGAAGACUGCUUAUCUCAGAGUGAAGAUACUGCGGCUGAAAAGCACUAGUUUGAUAUAAAAUUUAAAUGACCAAAACCCUCCAACUUUGAAGCUAAAGAAGGUAAACCUCUCCAUAAUUGCAUUACAUGUUGUGGAAUCUCUUGAGUGCAAAGACAUCUAGGUAUUUAUCAGGCUAUUUCUACUGAUGAAGUGCUUCAGAUGGGAGAGGGAAACUCUUUACCUGUUUUUAUUUGCCUGAUUUAAAUGUCUGAGAAACAAUCUUCGUUCUCUUAGGCUGCAAUGGAACAACUUUACCAGGGUUUUGGUAUUUCCUUUCCUUUAUAAAACAUGCUCAGCAAACUGCACCAGUUAACUACAGUUUGGUAAAUUGUUAACAAUUAUGACAUCUGCAAUGUUUUAUAAAGCAAUUAAUUUAAUAAAAUCACUAUUGUGAGG